rnacentral:rRNA from 1 species
CCUACGGGAGGCAGCAGUAGGGAAUAUUGCUCAAUGGGGGAAACCCUGAAGCAGCAACGCCGCGUGGAGGAUGAAGGUUUUCGGAUUGUAAACUCCUUUUGUUAGAGAAGAUAAUGACGGUAUCUAACGAAUAAGCACCGGCUAACUCCUUGCCGGCAGCCGCGGUAAUACGGAGAGUGCAAGCGUUACCCGGAAUCACUGGGCGUAAAGAGCGGGUAGGGGGGAUGGCAAGUCAGAUGUGAAAUCCUAUGGCUAAACAAUAGAAGUGCAUUUGAAACUGUUAUUCUAGAGUAUGGGGGUGGUAGGUGGAAUGCUUGGUGUAGGGGUAAAAUCCAGAGAGAUCAAGAGGAAUACUCAUUGCGAAGGCGACCGACUAGAACAUGACUGACGCUGAUGCGCGAAAGCGUGGGGAGCAAACAGGAUUAGAUACCCUUGUAGUC